GUCGAGGGGCAGCACAAGGUAGCAAUACUGAGGUGGCGACCGGCGCACGGGUGAGUAACGCGUAUGCAACCUGCCUGUAACAGGGGAAUAGCCUCUUGAAAGAGAGAUUAAUGCCGCAUAAUACGAUAUUCGGGCAUCCGGGUAUUUUUAAACAUUUAUGGGUUACAGAUGGGCAUGCGUUUCAUUAGGUAGUUGGUGAGGUAACGGCUCACCAAGCCGACGAUGAAUAGGGGUUCUGAGAGGAAGGUCCCCCACACUGGUACUGAGACACGGACCAGACUCCUACGGGAGGCAGCAGUGAGGAAUAUUGGUCAAUGGACGCAAGUCUGAACCAGCCAAGUCGCGUGAAGGAUGAAGGUAUUAUGUAUUGUAAACUUCUUUUGUCAGGGAAUAAUGGGUGUCACGUGUGACGCAGAGGAAUGUACCUGACGAAUAAGCAUCGGCUAACUCCGUGCCAGCAGCCGCGGUAAUACGGAGGAUGCGAGCGUUAUCCGGAUUUAUUGGGUUUAAAGGGUGCGUAGGCGGUUUGUUAAGUCAGUGGUGAAAGUUUGCGGCUCAACCGUAAAAUUGCCAUUGAAACUGGCGAACUUGAGUACAGUAGAGGUAGGCGGAAUUCGUGGUGUAGCGGUGAAAUGCUUAGAUAUCACGAA
rnacentral:rRNA from 1 species